AUGUGCAGGGCGCUCCGCACGUACGAGCCAGAGAGAGGGAAAAAAAACACACGAAAACGUGCCACGGUGACACUCCUCGCCACCGGCUCGCUCGCACGAGUAGAGUGACCCUUUCUUUUCCCCCUUCUCGCUCUCGCGAUUCCACUCUUCUUUGAUCGACCUCUCUGCCUGCAGCGAUGAGGCGCAGCACAGUGGCACGCUACUACUGGUCGCGGUAUCGCAUACCGUCGCAGAUGCCAAAGUUCGACGGACCGGCGCCCGUGGCAGCCCCACAAAACAUGAAUAGCACCAAGACCAACGAGUUCAUCGACCCCAUCGACGACAAAUUUCCUGUUUCCAUCCGCGGCAAUUUAGUGCGGCCCGACGUCCCGGAGGAUCAGUACGUCGAUAGCUGGUACGUAUGCACGUCCAUGACGCACCACCUCGGCGACUUUCGGCCAUGGAGUGCCAGCGCACCGGCCAACGCAUACCGUUUUCGCCCUUACAACGAGUUCGAUUCCAAAGGGCGCGACUAUGUUGAGCAGCUGCGCAAAUUUAGCCGCUACGCACCACAAUCGUCGCGGGGAAAGGGCGCCAAGGGGUUUCCCUUCCGUGAGGCAUUCUUGACAAAGAUGAACACCGCCGAGACGGCCGUGGUAAACCCAACACGCGAAACGAUCAUGACUCGCGCCGUUGCCGAGCGUCUGCAUCACGCCAAGGUGCUGAGUCCGCUCGAGGUGCAGCGGGAUGUCGGUCGUCUAGAGGAGCCCUUGCCAUGCGCGGGCAAGAUUCCAGCUGAGCGCUCUACUUUCCCCUUUCGAUGGAACACGGAGGACUGGUACGAGUACGAGGUGGCCAAGGCGCGCAACAAGCGCUUCGUUUUCGAGAACACGAACGAUACCGGCAUCAGUGCGUCGGAAGUGACGUAUCGCAUCGUGCUGGAGGGGUUCUGGGACCAUCACGUGAUGAAACUUGCCGACGACGUCGUGAUGUUUCUCAAGGAUGUGGGACGCCAGGUGGUGGAAGAAAAACUCAAGAGCGUGCGCGCGAGCCUUGAAAGCUUGUCGACCGGUGGCGCCGUUGACCCGGAGCUGGUGGCGGCUUUUAAUGCUUCGUUGAAGGGGCCCUUUGGCGGCCCUGACCGCUACGAUGCAGAGGAGGUGGCGCACUUUUUGCGCACCGAGUUGGUCCGGCUGGAGGAGCAGUGUGUGAGCCUCAUCAACCGCGCCAAUGUUCCCAUUCCGGGUACGUCGAACAUCUACGAUGCCAAUGUGUCGUGGCCGCACGUGGAGAAGAUGGAGCCGUGGACCCGGAUGGCCGAGUUCUGGACGUCUUCCUCGGACACUUCCUUCACCGAGCUGGAGAUGUCCACGGCGCACUAUGAAUUUCGCAAGUACUUCCGUGUCGUGGUGGUGAAAAUGCCGUUUCAGAGCACCGAGUUAGAGCAGCGGAUCUACGGCAUCCGUCACUGGUUGCACCGCCAGACAAGCUGCGAGUUUCACACAACGUACAAACGCAACGUCGUGCACGACAGCGCCGUCUUUCCAACCGAGCACGACCCGGAGACGAAGCCGUCGCACGAGCACCACCGACUCUUCUCCUUUGCACUCGACUGGCAGAGCGCGCCAGUGGAUUAUCUGAGCGUCGAACUGGCCCGAGAGGGCGAUAGCUGGGCAUCGCUCGCCAAGCGACUCGGGUGCUCCGAGUCGGAGCUGAGGGCUGCCAAUGACACGAUGGAGGAGGUGGCUGCGGGCGUUGCAGUGAGCGUCCCUGGAAGUGCGACGCGGCGCUUGACCAGCUUCAGCACCACGCCGUCGGUCCUGCCACUGCAGCAAGGCGACGGCAAGCCGGCCAUCACGUCUUGGCGGAGGGCGGCGGAGGUGCUCGGCUGCUCCGUCGAGGAGCUUCAGCAGGCAAACGGCGCGGCCGCUCUCACCUACAUUUCCGCGGCAGAGUCCGGCGACGGCGCUUUCGAUCCGGCAGUGAAGGAGUUGGUUGUGCCACACACGGCCACGGCCGCCUUGACAGAGUCCUCGUUUGCGGCAUUCGAACCUACGUUUGACGGCGACACCUGGACGUCCAUCGCCGAUCGCCUGGGCUGCAGUGAGGGGGACCUGCGUGCCUGCAACAGCGUUGAUGGCUCAGUUGCGGAUGUGUCGUCGCUCGCGGCUGUGAGCGUGCCGGCGAGCGCGACGCGUCCGCGGCGUAUCAUACAUCCUCAGCUUCGGCCUCAGGCCGCAACGGACGCCUUGCUGGCGCGAACGCUGGGUGAGCAGGCGGUCAGCGCCAUCGGCGACAUCCCCAGCCUUCCGGCAAAUGCGCACAAGUUCCCGCAUGAGUAUUACACCCCAACCUCGCGCUUCCCCGCGACGCCGCAGCAGUCGCCUGCAAGCGACAACUGGAUCGCCUACACCGCCAAAUACCUGGACAAGCAGCUAGCGCUCCAAGACGAGCCGGCUCCGGUGUACAAUGUCAACAAGUUGUGGCCGAUGCAGCAGGUGCCCGGUAAGGUUGAUCAGACCCCCUUCGAGGAGGAUCAGACAUGGCUCAUGCACCCGAUCCCCGUGCAGCAGAUGCAGCAGCAUCACCCGGAGAAGGACCUGCAGGACCUUCCCUUUGUGAAUCACGAGCAGUUCCCCCGAUCGCUGGAGUGGACAGCACCGUAAGGAAGUGGCUGGGGGUGGGUGCGCGAGCAUGCAGUUGCCCGUAGGCUCUUCGCCGUUGUUUUUGUUCUCUCCGUGUGCGAAUGCGUGAGUGGGGCUCGUGUAACGAUGGUUGUGUUG
rnacentral:misc_RNA from 1 species